rnacentral:tRNA from 5 species
GGCCAGGUAGCUCAGUUGGUACGAGCGUCCGCCUGAAAAGCGGAAGGUCGCCGGUUCGACCCCGGCCCUGGCCACC